GUGAAAAUUACAAAAUAUCAACAUGCUAUCAAAUUCAAAUGUCCUUUCAUUUCAAAAUCUCAUUUAUCCAAAAGGACCCUAAAAUAAAAAUAAUCGACAUAAUGUUUUAUUCUAAUAUCUAUCCAAAUGGACCCUUACAUGAUUUCUUUCUAGAAGUGGUGGAAACUAAAAAUGUUAUAAAUACACACUGAACAUUAAAAUUACACACUUAAAAAACUAAGUGCUGAAAAUUUUAAUGCGGGUUCUUAAUUUAAGUUAGCAAACACCCCCUUAGAUUUUUAUGGCAUGAGCUAUGGUCUUGGUUUCCUUUACAUACGGUUUGAUGCAGAGGUAUUUGUGAAGUCAGUUUGCUGAGAGAUAAAAUGGAGUUUAAGUUACUUAAAGAGCAGAAUUGGGUGAAUUUGUUAUUGUUCUGCUGUUAAAGUUAUCAGUUUGUUGCUCUUGGAAAUUUCUGUAACUGAGAGGGGAUAAGAAGUUAAGGAGCUCUAUGCUAUGUCUGCUGCUCCUCUUGAUGAAAUAUAUCAUCGAUUCAUAGGUAAUAGCAUUGGACUCUUAACAUGUGUAGUUACUGGUUGAUGCAGAAUAAGAAUUUGCACAUAUUCAAGCUUCUU
rnacentral:misc_RNA from 1 species